rnacentral:rRNA from 1 species
UACAGAGGUCUCAAGCGUUGUUCGGAUUCAUUGGGCGUAAAGGGUGUGUAGGCUGGCGCCGUAAGUCGGGUGUGAAAUUCGAGCUUAACUCCGAAACUGCAUUCGAUACUGCGGUGCUUGAGGACUGGAGAGGAGACUGGAAUUCAUGGUGUAGCAGUGAAAUGCGUAGAGAUCAUGAGGAAGACCAGUGGCGAAGGCGGGUCUCUG